CCUACGGGUGGCAGCAGUGAGGAAUAUUGGUCAAUGGACGAGAGUCUGAACCAGCCAAGUAGGGUGAAGGAUGACUGCCCUAUGGGUUGUAAACUUCUUUUAUAUGGGAAUAAAAUGUUCCACGUGUGGGAUUUUGUAUGUACCAUAUGAAUAAGGAUCGGCUAACUCCGUGCCAGCAGCCGCGGUAAUACGGAGGAUCCGAGCGUUAUCCGGAUUUAUUGGGUUUAAAGGGAGCGUAGGUGGAUUGUUAAGUCAGUUGUGAAAGUUUGCGGCUCAACCGUAAAAUUGCAGUUGAAACUGGCAGUCUUGAGUACAGUAGAGGUGGGCGGAAUGCGUGGUGUAGCGGUGAAAUGCUUAGAUAUCACGAAGAACUCCGAUUGCGAAGGCAGUUCACUGGACUGCAACUGACACUGAGGCUCGAAAGUGUGGGUAUCAAACAGGAUUAGAUACCCGGGUAGUC
rnacentral:rRNA from 1 species